rnacentral:rRNA from 1 species
UACAGAGGUCUCAAGCGUUGUUCGGAUUCAUUGGGCGUAAAGGGUGCGUAGGUGGUGACGCAAGUCUGGUGUGAAAUCUCGGAGCUUAACUCCGAAAUUGCACCGGAUACUGCGUAACUCGAGGACUGUAGAGGAGAUCGGAAUUCACGGUGUAGCAGUGAAAUGCGUAGAUAUCGUGAGGAAGACCAGUUGCGAAGGCGGAUCUCUGGGCAGUUCCUGACACUGAGGCACGAAAGCUAGGGGAGCAAACAGG